rnacentral:rRNA from 1 species
CAAGACCAGAUGGGGAGUCGGGCAGGGCGGGGUCUUACACAUGCAAGUCGAACGAUGAACCACUUCGGUGGGGAUUAGUGGCGAACGGGUGAGUAACACGUGGGUAAUCUGCCCUUCACUCUGGGACAAGCCCUGGAAACGGGGUCUAAUACCGGAUAUCACUUGCGCAGGCAUCUGUGCGGGUUGAAAGCUCCGGCGGUGAAGGAUGAGCCCGCGGCCUAUCAGCUUGUUGGUGAGGUAACGGCUCACCAAGGCGACGACGGGUAGCCGGCCUGAGAGGGCGACCGGCCACACUGGGACUGAGACACGGCCCAGACUCCUACGGGAGGCAGCAGUGGGGAAUAUUGCACAAUGGGCGCAAGCCUGAUGCAGCGACGCCGCGUGAGGGAUGACGGCCUUCGGGUUGUAAACCUCUUUCAGCAGGGAAGAAGCGCAAGUGACGGUACCUGCAGAAAAAGCGCCGGCUAACUACGUGCCAGCAGCCGCGGUAAUACGUAGGGCGCAAGCGUUGUCCGGAAUUAUUGGGCGUAAAGAGCUCGUAGGCGGCUUGUCACGUCGGGGGUGAAAUCCCGGGGCUUAACCCCAGGUCUGCAUUCGAUAGGGCAGGCUAGAGUGUGGUAGGGGAGAUCGGAAUUCCUGGUGUAGCGGUGAAAUGCGCAGAUAUCAGGAGGAACACCGGUGGCGAAGGCGGAUCUCUGGGCCAUUACUGACGCUGAGGAGCGAAAGCGUGGGGAGCGAACAGGAUUAGAUACCCUGGUAGUCCACGCCGUAAACGGUGGGAACUAGGUGUUGGCGACAUUCCACGUCGUCGGUGCCGC